AAAUAUAAAGUUCUGUAUCCAUUACUUUCAGAAUAAUCUUUAAUUCAAAAGACUAUUUACAAGAACCAAAAGAGAAAUAGAAGAAAGAAAUUUUUUCUUUCUUUUGUUUUUUUAUUUCAUUUUUAUAUAUAUACAAGUCUUUCUUAUUUCCAUAGUCGGAGGCCUGUAAUAUUUUAUCUGCCAACGGGAUUGGUGAAAAUCGCGUUUACAUAUUACAUAGAUCCAGUAGCGCCAACGCCGAAACGCCAAAAAUCUUUGGUUUCCCGAGUUACCUAUGAUACUCUUCACAAAAAUAUAAAGGUUAUUAUUCUCAGCAACCUGUACAAAUAAAGCAUAUGAACAUAAAUAUUUUAAAUUGUCAUAGUGAUGACUUAACAAAAUCAAUCUCAGGAAUAGUUAGUACACAAAGUCUACUAGGCCUAAAAAUAUAUUUUACUAUAUAAAGACUUUUCCCGAUUGACGUCAAUCAGGAAAAGUCUAAAGUAUCAAGUGCAAGGACUUCUUACUACUUAUUGACAACACAGGCAUCACAUCAUAAAAAAAAGAGGGUUAUGUUUUUUAAUUAACAUCAAUGUUAAUAUAUCCUUAAUACAUAUGUAUAAAAUGCUGAUUAGAUCUACAGAGAAAGGAUAUUAUUAAGUUAGAUAUAGGUUUAAAAAGACAGUAAAGUUAGAUAUUUUACAUCAUCGAUGUUUCUAUUGAUGAUUUAUUAUUAAUGCAUUAUUUUAUAACUUGAAUCUAUAGAUCGACGAUAAUAUCUUCAAGACAUCAAAUCUAUAAGAAGACAGGAAGACAGUUAACCUCUAGACCUCAAUUUCCAAGAUGAAACCCGUUUCAUAAUACCACAAAUUACUGACAAUUCCCAGAUUUAAUAAAACCAUUUCAGCCGUUCGUGUGUAGAGCGGCAUGCCAUAUAUCACAUAUAAAUAAAAGGAUUCCCAGUAGCGUAAGUGUUUCUUCGGCUAUCACCAAAAAAAUUAUUGAUUAAAAAGGCAAAAUUUACAUAUUUAAUAGAAACUGGAAAUUCCACAUCCGUCAGAUAGUCCAUGGACUUGUUACAUAUAGGCCUUAGAAAAAUAUCAGUUUAGUGUCUUUAUGAAACUAUAGAAAAUUAAAUACUGUAAAGAAACCAAAUCACUACUCAUUAUCACAUAUCCAAGAUUUCGUGAAAAUAUCUUUUUGUCUAUUGAUUUGGAAAAAAUGCUAUGACAUUCCAAUGACAGGUGACUUAAAAUAACCAUUAUUAUUCUGUUUAUCCUAUUCAAAUUUUUGGCAAAUGUUAUUUAAACUAAAGAACGAAUAAUAAAUUUCUCAUGAAUUUCAUUUUCUAAUUCUUCGGUUAUUUAUAUACUAUGUACAUAAUGCUAUUUGGAUGAUGUUUUACGAUUAGUAACAUCGGGACAUAAAAAUAUGGCCUUUAUAAUGUCAUUUUCGAAAAAGCUUCAGUGCAAACUAGUAAAGUAAAAAUAAUCAGGAGCUAUCAGCAACUACCGGUGAACUACGAAAUAAUCAAAUAUAAUAGAAACUUCAUAGAAAGGAGAUAACUUAUUAUAAAGACAGAUCAUUGACCUUAGUCUUUUACCAGAGGUCGGCAAAGAUAUUAUUAAGACAAAUUAAACAGUUAAAUUUUAUUGGUCAAUUCGCCACCGAAAUUGUUCGUGUAAGUGGCAAAGAAAAUGCGAUAGCCGACACACUAUCGUGCAUAACUACUAUAGACUUUCCAGUCAUUAUUAGCACUGAAAAGUUAGCGGAAGAAUAGCGAUAAGACAUACUUAAUGAAAAAAACUGUCUCAAAUUCAGAUCAUUCAUUUUUACUGACUGAGUGAAAUGUUCGUUGUAGAUAUUUUAAAUUCGUACGUGCGUUAAAGAAACUAUCAAAUUUAAAAUUCUGAAACUAUUACGUGAAAGAAUUUUUUAUUAUAUCCAUAUUAAAGCUAACUUUUUCAUUAUUAUCAACAAGAUAUCUGCACUAAUACUCAUGCGACGCAAUGUACGGGAUAUUUUGCUUCAUUAUUAAUGUUUUUUGGUGGUGUAAAUGAAAUAUCUGAUAUGAAUAAAUCUGUUAUGCGAUGCUAUGAACAAAAA